UAAUAUAGCAAUAUUAUCUAUGGUACCUCUACCUUUGCGGAAUCCAAACUGUGUAUUCGAAAGGAGGUUAUGUUUUUCUACAAACCAUUCUAGUCUGUUUUUAGCUAAAUGUUCCGCAAUCUUUAAUAAAACAGAGGAUAGAACAAUGGGGCGAUAUGAUGUAGCCAAAGAAGGGGGUUUGUUGGGUUUUGGUACUGGAAUAACUUUUUGUUUUCUCCAUGAAGUGGGUAAAUUACCAGUUAUUAAAAUUUGGUUUAUUAACUUGAGGUAGUAUUGUAAAAUUUCCUCAUCAGCAUGUUGAAAGAAAGAAUAUGGAAUGCCAUCUAAUCCGGGAGAAGAAUCUUUUAAGUUUUGUACUACCCCUUUUAACUCUUCUAUUAUGCAGCAAUGAUUGAAAAAUCAGAGUGAUGUGAUGGAAGAGGAAUGUGAUGAAAUGAUUGAUGGUGUUUGAUGAGCAUGGCUGUACCACCAUACCCAUCUGAUCUGUCUUCCCUGAGACAAGUGUAGCCAGAAAUCCUGAAAAGUGAUUCCGGCUUGAGCCAUGUCUCUUGUAAGGAAAGAACAAUAGGUGAUGAUGAUGAAGAAGUAGAUGAUAUUAACACGUCAGAAUAUAAUUUUGAAAUGGGAGGAUGUAACUUAGAAGCUUCUGAGUAGGAUAGACAAUUGUGAGCCAUUGACUCCUUAAUUGAUUUUUGGCGUUGGAAUUCUGGGCAUUUUUUAUCAGUUGCAAUGUGCGAACCGUGGCAAAUACAACAGUAAAUAGACUCCUCUUCAACUGAGCAACUAUCACCAGCAUGCCCUUGGCCACACCUAAAGCAUCUAGGUGUUGACCGACAUUGGUUUUUGACAUGUCCGUAUCUACAGCAAUUGAAGCACUGUAUUGUAGGGAAAAUAUAUAAAUCUACAGGAAGUGCAUUAUAGCACAUGAAGACUCUCUUUGGUAGCGUCUGUCCGUCAAAUGUUAUUACCACAGAUUCGGUGUUAUUAAAUUGAGCGGUUCCAUUCA